rnacentral:rRNA from 1 species
ACCGCUGAAAGCAUCUAAGCGGGAAGCGAGCCCUGAGAUGAGUCAUCCCUGACCCCUUGAGGGUCCUAAAGGGCCGUUGGAGACCACAACGUUGAUAGGUGGGGUGUGUAAGCACGGCGACGUGUUGAGCUAACCCAUACUAAUUACCCGUGAGGCUUAACCAUACAACACCCAAGAAGUGUUC